GUUGAUCCAAGGUAUGUUCUCUCUAACAACUUCGCUCCAGUAGACGAACUUCCUCCUACCGAAUGCGAAGUAGUGGAAGGCUCCCUUCCACCUUGCCUAGAUGGCGCGUAUAUUAGAAAUGGACCUAACCCUCAAUAUCUUCCACGUGGACCUUACCAUCUAUUCGACGGUGAUGGAAUGCUUCACUCCAUUAAAAUUUCCCAAGGUAA
rnacentral:misc_RNA from 1 species